GUCUACAGCCAUGCCACCCUGAAUGUGUCCAAUCUUGUCUGAUCUCGGAAGCUAAGCAGGGUCAGGCCUCAUUAGUACUUUGAUGGGAAACCACAUAGGAAUAUCAGGUUCUGUAGGCG
rnacentral:rRNA from 1 species